AUUAAAUUGGCAGAUUAGUGUGAAAGAUUUAGAAUCUUUUUAAGUAAUAAAUAUUACAUUUAAUA
rnacentral:tRNA from 1 species